GGGUCUUGGGAUAAUUGGGGUUAAAUGUCCUUGAGUUUGAAUAGUACUAAGUUGGGUGACCUCCCGAGAAGUCCAAAUUCAGGAGCUU
rnacentral:rRNA from 1 species